rnacentral:rRNA from 1 species
AUUGAACGCUGGCGGCAUGCUUUACACAUGCAAGUCGAGCGGCAGCGCGGGGGCAACCCUGGCGGCGAGCGGCGAACGGGUGAGUAAUGCAUCGGAACGUGUCCCGUAGUGGGGGAUAACCCGCCGAAAGGCGGGCUAAUACCGCAUAUGCUCUACGGAGGAAAGGGGGGGAUCCGCAAGGACCUCUCGCUAUGGGAGCGGCCGAUGUCCGAUUAGCUAGUUGGUGGGGUAAUGGCUUACCAAGGCGACGAUCGGUAGCUGGUCUGAGAGGAUGAUCAGCCACACUGGGACUGAGACACGGCCCAGACUCCUACGGGAGGCAGCAGUGGGGAAUUUUGGACAAUGGGGGCAACCCUGAUCCAGCCAUGCCGCGUGCGGGAAGAAGGCC